rnacentral:rRNA from 1 species
AGUGAACGCUGGCGGUAGGCCUAACACAUGCAAGUCGAACGGCAGCACAGUAAGAGCUUGCUCUUACGGGUGGCGAGUGGCGGACGGGUGAGGAAUACAUCGGAAUCUACUUUUUCGUGGGGGAUAACGUAGGGAAACUUACGCUAAUACCGCAUACGACCUACGGGUGAAAGCAGGGGAUCUUCGGACCUUGCGCGAUUGAAUGAGCCGAUGUCGGAUUAGCUAGUUGGCGGGGUAAAGGCCCACCAAGGCGACGAUCCGUAGCUGGUCUGAGAGGAUGAUCACCCCCCCGGGAAAUGAGACACGGCCCAGACCCCCACGGGAGGCAGCAGGGGGGAAUAUUGGGCAAUGGGCCCAAGCCGGACCCAGCCAUACCGGGGGGGGGAAGAAGCCCUUCGGGUUGUAAAGCCCUUUUUUUGGGAAAAAAAAGCAGCAGGUUAAUACCCCGCUGUUCUGACGGUACCAAAAGAAUAAGCACCGGCUAACUUCGU